GAUGAACGCUGGCGGCGUGCCUAAUACAUGCAAGUCGAGCGAACAGAUGAGGAGCUUGCUCCUCUGACGUUAGCGGCGGACGGGUGAGUAACACGUGGAUAACCUACCUAUAAGACUGGGAUAACUUCGGGAAACCGGAGCUAAUACCGGAUAAUAUAUUGAACCGCAUGGUUCAAUAGUGAAAGACGGUUUUGCUGUCACUUAUAGAUGGAUCCGCGCCGCAUUAGCUAGUUGGUAAGGUAACGGCUUACCAAGGCAACGAUGCGUAGCCGACCUGAGAGGGUGAUCGGCCACACUGGAACUGAGACACGGUCCAGACUCCUACGGGAGGCAGCAGUAGGGAAUCUUCCGCAAUGGGCGAAAGCCUGACGGAGCAACGCCGCGUGAGUGAUGAAGGUCUUCGGAUCGUAAAGCUCUGUUAUUAGGGAAGAACAAAUGUGUAAGUAGCUAUGCACGUCUUGACGGUACCUAAUCAGAAAGCCACGGCUAACUACGUG
rnacentral:rRNA from 1 species